rnacentral:rRNA from 1 species
GCCCAGCCGUAAACAAAGACAGCACAAAAUACAACGCUGUUCGCCAGAGAACUACAAGCUAAAACUCAAAACUCCAAGGACUUGGCGGUGCUCCACAUCGUCCUAGAGGAGCCUGUCCUAUAAUCGAUACCCCCCGAUCUACCCCACCACUUUUUGAAAUUCAGCCUAUAUACCGCCGUCGUCAGCCUACCUUAUGAGAGAAGUAUAGUAAGCAAAAUAGUCACUAACUAAAACGUCAGGUCAAGGUGUAGCACAUAAAGUGGAAGAGAUGGGCUACACUCUCUGCCCCAGAGAACACGAACGGCAUCAAUGAAACACUGCCUAAAGGCGAAUUUAGUAGUAAGAUAAACAAGAGAGCUUAUCUUAAACCAGCCCUGGAGCGCGC